rnacentral:rRNA from 1 species
AUUGAACGCUGGCGGCAGGCCUAACACAUGCAAGUCGAGCGGAGCGGCGGACGGGUGAGUAAUGCCUAUGAAUCUGCCUGGUCGUGGGGGAUAACGUCCGGAACCGGGCGCUAAUGCUGCAUACUUUCAGAUUAGCAUAGGUCGGAUUAGCUAGUGGGUGGGGUAAAGGCCUACCAAGGCGACGAUCCGUAACUGGUCAGAGAGGAUGAUCAGGCACACGGGAACUGAGACACUGUCCAGACUCCUACGGUAGGCAGCAGUGGGGAAUAUUGGACAAUGGGCGAAAGCCUGAUGCAGCCAUGCCGCGUGUGUGAAGAAGGUCUUCGGAUUGUAAAGCACUUUAAGUUGGGAGGCGUUACCAACAGAAUAAGCACCGGCUAACUUCGUGCCAGCAGCCGCGGUAAUAC